rnacentral:tRNA from 1 species
GUGUCGGUGGUAUAGUGGUUAGCAUAGCUGCCUUCCAAGCAGUUGACCCGGGUUUGAUUCUCGGCCGACGCA